rnacentral:lncRNA from 1 species
CUGAUGGCCUCCUGUCCCUCAGCACAAGCCCAGACAUUUGCCUCUCUAGUGUCUGCUCUCUCACUACUGUUAGCAUAAGGAUAACAGCCUGGAGAGGUGACAGCUGAUGAAAGCACACCUGUAACCGUUGCUGAGUUGAUUGACUUAAGAAUCUGAACAUUCUGCCCACAUGGGCUCAAAGCUACAUCUGUAAGAAAAGAACAACAGACGAGACUAGUUUCCAAAACAACUCACCCCACCCACGGGCUCACUCAGCAGAUGUGGCAGGUUCCUGAGUAUGAGGUGUGUGGUGUGGGGAGUGGGGACUCAGGCUCAGGGCUGGGCACCUGGGGCUUGAAGAGAAGUUAGGCUUAAACUGAACUGAACUGACUCAACUGCUCAGUGCCUGGGUGCCUUUAAACAAGCUCCUUAAUCUCCAAGUUUCUUUAUCUAUAAGUGAAAAUUACUAAUAAUUAGCCAAAAGGGACUUUUAUGGAGAUGAGAAUAAAACAUUUAUAGAGUCUGGCCAAACAUCUGGCACAUGGAGACAUGCUGGCUAUUUUU